UAGAGUUUGAUCCUGGCUCAGAACGAACGCUGGCGGCAUGCCUCAUACAUGCAAGUCGAACGAGAUCCUUCGGGGUCUAGUGGCGCACGGGUGAGUAGCGCGUGGGAACCUGCCCUGUUGUGGGGGAUAACCGAUGGAAACGUCGGCUAAUACCGCAUGCGCCCGGCGAGAGAUCGCUGGGGAAAGAUUUAUCGCAGCAGGAUGGGCCCGCGUCGGAUUGGCUAGUUGGUGGGGUAACGGCCUACCAAGGCGAUGAUCCGUAGCUGGUCUGAGAGGAUGAUCAGCCUCACUGGGACUGAGACACGGCCCAGACUCCUACGGGAGGCAGCAGUAGGGAAUAUUGGACAAUGGGCGCAAGCCUGAUCCAGCAAUGCCGCGUGAGUGAGGAAGGCCUUAGGGUUGUAAAGCUCUUUCGCACGCGGCGAUGAUGACGGUAGCGUGAGAAGAAGCCCCGGCUAACUUCGUGCCAGCAGCCGCGGUAAUACGAAGGGGGCGAGCGUUGUUCGGAAUUACUGGGCGUAAAGGGCGCGUAGGCGGCUAUCUUUGUCAGGCGUGAUAGCCCUGGGCUCAACCUGGGAGGUGCGCUUGGGACGGGGUGGCUAGAGAUCGGGAGAGGAGAGCGGAAUUCCCAGUGUAGAGGUGAAAUUCGUAGAUAUUGGGAAGAACACCGGUGGCGAAGGCGGCUCUCUGGACCGAUACUGACGCUGAGGCGCGAAAGCGAGGGGAGCAAACAGGAUUAGAUACCCUGGUAGUCCACGCUGUAAACGAUGUGUGCUAGACGUUGGGGAGCCUAGCUCUUCGGUGUCGCAGCUAACGCUUUAAGCACACCGCCUGGGGAGUACGGCCGCAAGGUUAAAACUCAAGGGAAUUGACGGGGGCCCGCACAAGCGGUGGAGCAUGUGGUUUAAUUCGACGCAACGCGAAGAACCUUACCAGCUUUUGACAUGCCUCGUAUGGGCCGGGGAGACCCGGUUCUUCG
rnacentral:rRNA from 1 species